GACAGAAUGGCCGAUUGGUUUAGGGCACUAAUUUCAAAUACCAGUCACUGCGGUGGUGUGGGUUCGAAUCCCACUUCUGUCA
rnacentral:tRNA from 1 species